rnacentral:rRNA from 1 species
CACGUAGGGGGCAAGCGUUGUCCGGAUUUAUUGGGCGUAAGGAGCUCGUAGGCGGCUUAGUAAGUCGGGUGUGAAACCUCCAGGCUCAACCUGGAGACGCCACCCGAUACUGCUGUGGCUAGAGUCCGGUAGGGGAGCGUGGUAUUCCUGGUGUAGCGGUGAAAUGCGCAGAUAUCAGGAGGAACACCAGCGGCGAAGGCGGCGCUCUGGGCCGGUACUGACGCUGAGGAGCGAAAGCGUGGGGAGCAAACAGG